UCCCUGGUGGCUCAGAUGGUAAAGAAUCUGCCUACAAUGUAGGAGACCCAGGUUUGACCCCUGGCUUGGAAA
rnacentral:tRNA from 1 species